rnacentral:tRNA from 1 species
GCCUGGGUGGCUCAGUCAGUUGAGCAACUGACUUCAGCUCAGGUCAUGAUCUCAUGGUUUGUGGGUUCAAGCCCCGCAUCAGGCU